AUACGGAGGGUGCAAGCGUUACUCGGAAUCACUGGGCGUAAAGCGCGCGCAGGCGGCUAUUUAAGUUGGAUGUGAAAGCCUACGGCUCAACCGUAGAACUGCAUCCAAAACUAUUUAGCUAGAGUGUGUGAGAGGAAGAUGGAAUUAGUUGUGUAGGGGUAAAAUCCGUAGAGAUAACUAGGAAUACCAAAAGCGAAGGCAAUCUUCUGGAACACUACUGACGCUGAGGCGCGAAAGCGUGGGGAGCAAACAGAAGUAGAAACCCUAGUAGUCC
rnacentral:rRNA from 1 species